AAGUCAGUGGCCAACUUCUUGAAGGGAUGAAGAACCCUUUUGAGGUGAGGGAGGCCAAGAGAAAAAGGACACUUUCCUUAAGGCAAGGCCCUGGCUCCCGAAGGGAAAAAAGAGGAUGAAAAAGCUCAUAGGAAAUGUAAGUGAUCUUUAUUGACCUGUGACUUUCGUGUAACGAUGGCCUCUGGCGUGUGACUCCGUGUGCAUUUCUUGUCAAAACAGGGUCAAAAAUAUAUGACAAUUCAAGGAAGAUUGUGUGAAGCUGAACUAAGAUCCUGUGGCUGGCUGAAGAUAAGGCUUCCUAAAAUAACUGGAUUAUCACUC